GACGAACGCUGGCGGCGUGCCUAACACAUGCAAGUCGAACGAAGCUCUGUGAUACAAGACUUCGGUCAAGUUGAACGGAUGACUUAGUGGCGGACGGGUGAGUAACGCGUGAGGAACCUGCCUUUCAGUGGGGGACAACAGUUGGAAACGACUGCUAAUACCGCAUAAUGUAUUCUGACCGCAUGAUCGGAAUACCAAAGAUUUAUUGCUGAAAGAUGGCCUCGCGUCUGAUUAGAUAGUUGGUGAGGUAACGGCUCACCAAGUCGACGAUCAGUAGCCGGACUGAGAGGUUGAACGGCCACAUUGGGACUGAGAUACGGCCCAGACUCCUACGGGAGGCAGCAGUGGGGAAUAUUGGGCAAUGGGGGAAACCCUGACCCAGCAACGCCGCGUGAAGGAAGAAGGCUUUCGGGUUGUAAACU
rnacentral:rRNA from 1 species